AUUUUUUUGUGAAUAAUUUUCACGUGCUUCAAAUAAACAUGAAGGACUAUCCUACUGUUAUAAUUUAUACUUAGUACAUGGUUUUAACUACUCUCACUGUGAUGGGUUUAAUUGUGUCCCUCCAACCUGCCCCAAAUAUAUCUUGAAGUCCCAGCAUUUAGUACCUCCAAGCUUGACCUUCUUUGGAGGGUGGGUCCUUAAAGAGGUAAUCUACUUAAAAUGACCUCAUUAAGGUGGGUUCUAAUCAAUAUGACUGAUGUCCUUACAAAAGAGAAAAUUGUGGAGAUAGAUAUGAACAUGGAGAGCACACCAUAUGAAGUUGAAGGCGGAGUUUGGGGUGAAGCUUCUACAAGUCCAAGAAUGCUGAAUAUUGCCAUCAAACUGUAGAAGCUACGAGAGAAGCCUGGAACAGCAUCCCCUUUCCAGUCUGAGAAAGAAUUAGCUCUGCCAACCCAUGGAUCUUCGGCUUCUGGCCUCCAAAGCUAUCAGACACAGUUAGAAUGCAGCCAAAAACUCUGCCAAAGAACAUCUCUGGUUGGGCAGAGUCAAGUCAUCCUGGAGUCAAGGCUAAUGCUGACAAGGAGGAGACAAUGGCAGUGAUGGUUUCACAGACCAGAAUGUGGAAAGACUCUGCCUGCCAGGAGUUGUCCUACACCCGCCUCAGGAAAUCAUAGUGGUAAAGCCCUCUUGGCAGGUUCACCAACUGGUUACUGAAGAGUCAGUUAUGGCAUGAAAUUGUUAACCUCAGACUCCCAUGCUGGGGGUACAGUUAGCCAGUACACACCAAGACAGCAUGGGAGCUAUUAAAACACAAAAAUAUUCCAGACCUGCUGGUAAUCAGCCACUGGCUGAAGCCCCUCGUGACUCACCAGUUAAAUAAAAUGUGUCCAUUUAUUUAUCAA